UCAAAGAAACGAGACACAACUGUGCCAGGAAUGGAGGAAUGGCGACUCCGGUUAACGUCAGUUGGGAUGAUGAUUAUGGAAGACCAAGAAGCCUCAGGUUUCAGACCCCAGGAUGAUCCCAAGUAGGGCUUUGUCCCAGCGUUCUCCAGAAGACAGGUUCUGGGGAAUGUCUCACGCUGCGCCCUAGCAUGGCGGCGAAGUGGAAGACUGGGCAGGUGUGUGAAGGAAGAUAGAACCUCAUAAACUCUUGUUACAGAAACCAGUCCAGCUCUGCAAGACUGAGAAUCCACUCAGAUGCAAUUAUGAAGGCGGAAAAGGCACCCGAGUGAGGUCUUUGCAGAUCCUGGCAGGCUUCGUUCCUUUGAUCCUGGCAGAUGUACUUCCAUUGUCUCAGCCAGGAAGCAGACCCUGGAGCAGAUGUGGUCUCAUAGCUCAGGUCACAAGCCCCCGCUUCACAUCCUUGGAUAUCCUGAGGCAAGGCUGAGGGAAAUUGCCAACAGCUUCUGAGCUAUGAUAGGGGCUGUUUGAUUUGUGAGGUUACCAGCCAACCUGGGGGAAGGAGUAACAUUGAGAUUCACUGGCAGUAGGAAAGGCUAACCCAGGAGAAAACCCACACAAUAAUAUUUUAAUACAAAAUAC